rnacentral:rRNA from 1 species
UGCCUACGGGACGCAGCAGUGGGGGAUAUUGCACAAUGGGGGAAACCCUGAUGCAGCAACGCCGCGUGAGUGACGAAGGUCUUCGGAUUGUAAAACUCUGUUCUUGGUGAAGAUAAUGACGGUAGCCAAGGAGAAAGCUCCGGCUAACUACGUGCCAGCAGCCGCGGUAAUACGUAGGGAGCGAGCGUUGUCCGGAAUUACUGGGUGUAAAGGGUGCGUAGGCGGCCUUGCAAGUCAGGCGUGAAAACCAUGGGCUCAACCCGUGGACUGCGUUUGAAACUGUGAGGCUGGAUGGAAGAAGGGAG